GUAGGUAUAGCUCAGUGGUAGAGCACAUGCUUAGCAUGCACAAGGUCCUGGGUUCAAUCCCCAGUACCUCCA
rnacentral:tRNA from 1 species